UACGGAGGGUGCGAGCGUUGUCCGGAAUCAUUGGGCGUAAAGGGCGCGUAGGUGGCGGGACAAGCGUGCGGUGAAAGCUCGGGGCUCAACCCCGAGUCGGCCGUGCGAACUGUUUUGCUUGAGCACUGUAGAGGCAGGCGGAAUUCCGGGUGUAGCGGUGGAAUGCGUAGAGAUCCGGAAGAACACCGGUGGCGAAGGCGGGUCUCUGGGCCGAUACUGACGCUGAGGAGCGAAAGCGUGGGGAGCGAACAGG
rnacentral:rRNA from 1 species